GAUGGCGCCUAUUGAAAAUAGACCAAACAACUUUUUUGAUAAAAUUUUGAAAUAAAAAUGAUGGAAAAUAGACCGAAGUACAGUAUCAAUAAAUAUUAUCUGUUGAAUUGAAAAGUAGAGGAUUAUGUGACCAUGGAACGUAUCUAAUUCGCUUAUCACCGGAGCCAACAGAACCUAAGCAAUCGGAGGCUGACUAUUCGAAUUAAUUUCCUCGGAUACCAAGAGAAUCUGGAAUCAUGAAUGAUAUAAUGGUGAAGCUACAACUGGGCUACCAAAACGUUUACGGUUAACCAAGGAACAAAAAUUUCAAGAUUCAGCAAUCUAUUGAAUAAAGAACGAUUAAAUACUGAUUGAUUUGAAAAUA